GGGCAGUUAGCUCAGUUGGUUAGAGUACCACCUUGACACGGUGGGGGUCAGUGGUUCGAAUCCACUACUGCCCA